rnacentral:lncRNA from 1 species
AUGAUGUACAGAUUUGGAAUCUUUUUCUUUUCUUUUCUUUUCUUUCUUUUCUUUUCUUUUUUUUUUUUUUUUUUUUUUUGUCUUUUUGAGACCUGGUCUCCCUAUACAGUUCAAGCUGGCCUUGAGCUCACUUUGCAGCCCAGGCUGGUCUCCAACUCACAACGAUCCUCCUGCCUCAGCCUUCCGAGUGCUGGGAUUACAGGCGUCCACCACCACGCGCAGCUUACAUUUGGAAUCUUACGUUUUUUUCCUCAUCUUCUACAGAAAUGGAUGUAUUUGAAGCUUCAUGCUAAGGUUCUGCAGUUCCUCAGGGUCAUUAUUUCCAGACCACUCUCUUUUGCAGUCACUUCCCCAGAGUCCUCCUGCAGGCCGUUCAUUCUUCAGCCCAGGGACCAAGAAGACUCCCUAACCCCAUCCCUGACUCCACCACCUCCCAAGUUCAUUGCCGCUGGCGGAACAGAAUCCCAACCAGAGCGAAGCACACCCGCAGAAGACACCUUUGAUGUGACAGUCCUCUGAGAAAUUAAAACCACACUUAGAGGAAUGGUUAAUAAUCAGGUCUGAAAUUGUAACAACAAAAAAGGACAAAUCCCUGAAUUUUGCCUUCAGGGAGAAGUACUGGGACAAUGGGUUUAUUGUAUAAUUCAGCUGAGUGAUUUUGGGGACCAAGGCAGUCUGAAGGGACACCAGUUACAUUGAAGUCCAAGAAAUAUCAACAUGUGUGGACUUUUGGGAGAGAUAUUUCCAGGGAUUUCUGAGAACAUUUAGCAACUUCUGGGCUUACAUGUAUUUAGUGUGUAUAAGGCAAGUACUUACCCUGAAAACAAUCAUUCAGAAAUCAACACAGUAAUUGAAUUUUCUUUUUAAAAAUGCCCUACUAGCUAGGCAUGCUGGUGUGUGCCUAUAAUCCCAGCACUAUGGGCGACUGAGACAGGAGGAUCCUGCCUGGGCAUCUUAGCCACUUAAUGAGACCUUGUCUCAAAAUAAAAAAUAAAAAGUGUUGAGGCUGUAGCUCAGUGGGAAGACCAUGGACUCAAUCCCCCGUACCAGAAAAAAAAAUGUCCUACUGAUACACGGUAUCAUUGGAAAACUCGGAACAAUCACAUUAAGUAGAAAUUUAAAAGUUAGGAAAUCUUACAAGAAAAAUUUUCAUUAUUCAGUAGAUAACAGCAUACCUAUUAAUAGCUAUAUUUGAAUGUUGAAAAUAUUCAAAAUUACUUUGGCUGUGUCAAAUUCUGUUUCAAAGGAUUUAGAACUUAGACAGCUUUAACUCUAUUCUGAUAGAAAUAAUCUCAAUUUCUUGACUCUCAGACAAGGAAAAAGAAAAUAAACUUCAUGGCAGUUGUUUACCCAAAUGUAAAAGUUUCUAAUUUUGUUUUCUUUUUAUGGCCCAGAGGAAAUAACUUGGAGUAAUUUCAACUCAACAUGUCUAAAAACUGAGGUAGCUAAGUGUGGUGGUGCACGCCUGUAAUCCCAACACUCAGGAGGCUGAGGCAAGAGGAUCACUGUGAGUUCAAGGCCAGCCUGAACUGCAUAGAGCUUGUUUUAAAAAAAAUCUGAGCUCAUCUUUCACUCAGGUUUGAGGUUCUUCCCAAGGAUCCCAUUUUCUUUCUGAGAGAGGAGUUAAUGCUGAUUUUCUGCUCCAUCAGAUGUGCAAAAUCAGUGCCUCGCUCCUCUCCAUCCAGUCACGAUGCAGAAAUUGAGGGCUAGGUGCGCACCUCAGCAGUGCAGGGUGUGCUUAGGAUGCAGAAAGCCCUUGUUCAAUCCCUGGCACCACAAAAAAAUCAAAUAAAUAAAAAUAUAGAACUUUUGUUGAUCAUUCUUUAAAACUCUCUCUUGGAUGCCAGACCUUCUUGUAGGUUUUAUGCAACCACCUCAGGCCCCUUUAAUUGGGGACACUCGCAUUGAAUAUCCCCAAUUAAUGUCCACUCAAUUGCCUUCAUUAUUUUCCCCAAACUACGCUUAUAUUUU